rnacentral:lncRNA from 1 species
ACAUUCCCCACCAGCACCGCACCAUACUCACCUCCGCUUAUCCUGCACGUUUAGAAAUACAUGCAGGGCGUGAGUACAUAAAUACUCAAUGGACAUAUCGCCGAAAAACAAAGCUGCUCAUAGAGCUAUAAAUUGAACUUGCCACAAUUCAGCAAUACACAGGAAUUAUAUCUUAAAAGAACCUGUGCAAGCAGUUUUAACCAUAAACAUCAUAAUUAAGUGUCUGCAGACAAGUACUCGACAUGUAUGUACCACAUCUACCCCUCUUCACCAUCAUCAAGGUACUGAGAAGUAGGCCUCCUUCUCAAGCACCGUGACCGGCCGACCCGAAGACGGCUCACAGUCACCUCAGUGUACACUAGCCCUGGCAGGAUAGCUAUCAACUAACUGCCUAGGACCCGAUCGUCUCAUCUCAACUCAUCAGUAGAGGGUAAACAUACAAGCUCAACAUCAUCAUAAAAUAUUGGCAAGUCAAUAAUUCUCAAACAUCAUCAUAAUCUCAAAACAUCAAAACAUCUCAUAAUUUCAUCAUCAUUUAAAACAGUUUAGAAAAGCUCUUAAACUGUAUACUCAAAAUAAUGCCCACCUGAAGACCUUACUCAAAAUCUCCUGUCAAAGCGGAGUUACUUACUUCGUUGCUCUGCUCGUGUCUUCAGGGAUCAUCAUCAUCAUCGAAAGUUCAUGUCAUAAAAUGAAUCUCGAUUAGAAACUCAUUGACUAACUCACAAGCCUUAACUCAUGCUCUAUCUCAUAUUCUAUCUCCUUACUCACUUUAUAUAAACUCUCCACUCAUCUCACAUCCUUAAGUUCAAGGAUAGGUUUCAAGAAAAUCAUGGUUCUAAGUCUCGAUUUAUCUCACAUAUAAGGCUCGUCUAAUCUCAUUUAAACACAUAGGCAACACAAUCACAUAAGGCACAUAAGAAAACACAAUCAAACAUCAUCAAAACAUGCUCUGUUUUUACACUGACCCAACUUCAAAAUUUAAACUGUUCUGACUCCGACAUCUCCUGGACUCAAGACUCAUACCAAAAGAAAGAUAUACGAGUCUAGUUUCAUUUAAAAAAAAGUAGAGUCGAAAACUCCAAGUGAUUUGAGAGAUAUGACGUUUUUACCAUGAUCUACCAUUUCUGGCAGUUUUGUGCAACCGAAGGUUACAAUUUUUCAAAAAUAGUAAACGUUGUCAAACUGGGCUCAUCUUCGGUGGAUAUCUAGCUAACACAAUAAGGUUGAUACCAUAAAAAUUUGGAAAGCUAGAUCACAUAGGAAGCUACUGAAAUGAAAGACUCUUUCCCCUGUUUUCUUAAAUUCUCGGUAAUAAAGUGCAGUUUAAGUUUUGCAUUUUAAAGAAAUAUCAAACGAAGUUUAAAAGACUUGAAAUUUUACCAGGGUACUCAAGACUCAUGUAGGGACUUGCUAUAAAAUUUUCAAAGCUAUUGGAAAUCGAAAACCCGUCGAUCACAGUAGGUCAGUAGGCCUACGAAAUUUCUCCAACUUGAACUCAAAAAUCAUAUAUCUCAAAAACAUUUCUAACUUGAAUAUAACAUCACAAUUCUCAACAACAAAUUCAUUUCAUCACACUUCUAAUCAUCAAUCUAUACCAUCACUUAACAUCAUAGCAUGCUCAAGAACUCAUAUAACCACUCAAAUCUUUAAAUCAACAUCAUAUAACAAAAUCACAUAUAGAACACAUAUAUGUCAUCUUCUUCCUCAAACUAACAUUUUUCAUUUUUCACUUCUCAACCUCAAGCUUCAAUCUCAUCCAUCAUUAAUCAUCUAGAUCAUCUCAUAAACUCAAAUCCAUCAUCAUAUAACUCAAGCCAAUUCAAGAAAAUAAACAACAAAAUUCGUAGGGUUUCAAGCUCCUAAUUUUCGAAAAUUUCAUAAAAAUAAGUUUGGUGAUUUUCUAGCUCAAUCAUGAUCAUAUACUCAUUCACAUAUCAUUAAUAUGAUCAAAUAAAUAAUCUAAGAUCACUUACUCAAGGAUUUAAAAGGUGAUCAAGACUUUGCUCCAACUUUGAUCUUAGCUCUAGCUUCUUGAAUUUGAUGAGAUAUGAUAGUAUUUGAUUGGAUUGGAUGGUGGAUUAUCUCAUAGUAGUGUUUGAUGAAGCUUCUCUAAGCUUUCUUUAAUGGACAUCAAUGGAGAAAAAGAGAGUAUAGAGAGAGAGAGGGGAGGCCGAGAAUGGGGAGGAGAAGGGAGGGUGUGCGUGAGUUUUUUGUAGAGUUAGG